UAACGCGAAGAACCUUACCAAGGCUUGACAUAUGCGAGAACGCUGCAGAGAUGCAGAACUCUUUGGACACUCGCAUACAGGUGGUGCAUGGUUGUCGUCAGCUCGUGUCGUGAGAUGUUGGGUUAAGUCCCGCAACGAGCGCAACCCUCGUUCUAUGUUGCCAGCACGUAAUGGUGGGGACUCAUAGGAGACUGCCGGGGUCAACUCGGAGGAAGGUGGGGAUGACGUCAAAUCAUCAUGCCCCUUAUGUCUUGGGCUUCACGCAUGCUACAAUGGCCGGUACAAAGGGCUGCGAUACCGCGAGGUGGAGCGAAUCCCAAAAAACCGGUCUCAGUUCGGAUUGGGGUCUGCAACUCGACCCCAUGAAGUCGGAGUCGCUAGUAAUCGCAGAUCAGCAACGCUGCGGUGAAUACGUUCCCGGGUCUUGUACACACCGA
rnacentral:rRNA from 1 species